rnacentral:rRNA from 1 species
UGGGGAAUAUUGCGCAAUGGGGGGAACCCUGACGCAGCCAUGCCGCGUGAAUGAAGAAGGCCUUCGGGUUGUAAAGUUCUUUCGGUAUUAAGGAAGGUUGAUGUGUUAAUAGCACAUCAAAUUGACGUUAAAUACAGAAGAAGCACCGGCUAACUCCGUGCCAGCAGCCGCGGUAAUACGGAGGGUGCGAGCGUUAAUCGGAAUAACUGGGCGUAAAGGGCACGCAGGCGGUUAUUUAAGUGAGGUGUGAAAGCCCUGGGCUUAACCUAGGAAUUGCAUUUCAGACUGGGUAACUAGAGUACUUUAGGGAGGGGUAGAAUUCCACGUGUAGCGGUGAAAUGCGUAGAGAUGUGGAGGAAUACCGAAGGCGAAGGCAGCCCCUUGGGAAUGUACUGACGCUCAUGUGCGAAAGCGUGGGGAGCAAACAGGAUUAGAUACCCUGGUAGUCCACGCUGUAAACGCUGUCGAUUUGGGGAUUGGGCUUAGAGCUUGGUGCCCGUAGCUAACGUGAUAAAUCGACCGCCUGGGGAGUACGGCCGCAAGGUUA